rfam:Triticum aestivum genome assembly, contig: Triticum_aestivum_CS42_TGACv1_scaffold_556266_7AL
UGAAUACUCCCUCCGUCCGAAAAUAUUUGUCCCUCAAAUGAAUGUAUCUAGCACUAAUGGUGCUAGAUACAUCCAUUUGAGAGACAAGCUUGGGACAAGUUUUUCCGGACGGAGGGAGUAUUUU